UGCUCCCUCCCUCCCUCGAACCCUAGCUACCCCUCGUCUCCCCGCCUCCAGCCACACUCGCCGUCGCAUCCCAAUCCCCGAUCUGGCUCUCCACCUCACGACGACGUGGUUCUCCCGGCGUUGACCCCCCCUCCUCAUGCCCUCUCCGACCUCUCUCUCCUCACGACACUCGCCCCUGCGCGCACGACCUCCCCCUCCUCCUCCCGCGCCGUUCGCCGCCCCACAAACUCCGGCAACCUUUAUCCGCCCUUCGCCGCGGGAGCCGCCUAGGAGCCGCCGCCCGCGGAAGCCGCAGCCCGAGCAGCCGCGGGAGCCGCUCGCCGCUGCAGCCGCCGCCCGCGGGAGCCACUCGCUGCUCGCCGCGGGAGCCGGAAGGUGAGAAGGACCGGCGGAUCCAGGCCCUGGUGUGGUCCUCUCCCUUCAACUCGCGUCGCCGACCUGGGCUCCCUCUUCUUCCACGGCCACAGCCUGGGGUUGCUGCCGGCUAGACGAAUAAUUACGUGCAGGCUGCCACGACAAAGGGUUUGACUCCUACACCAAUCUCAUCAAGGCUGCUGUUCUUGACACUCCUGAUGUUGUUUUUCAGAGCAAUGCCACGCUAAGAACGGUCUCAGAUCUGUGCGGCGGAGUGUCUGCACAGGCACACCAGGUGGAGAUCGACCACAAUCAUCUGAGCAACCCAUAGAGCAGCAGAUUGACCCCAGAGUACCAGGGUGGACGUUUAGGUCAGCUAUGCAUUUUUGUGUGGUUCAGAAUUAUAUGAUGACCCAUCUAAGUCUGUGGUUACACUUUGGUACAAAUGCACAGUCAGGAUUGGGGCUGAAGCAGGCAGAGCGCCAUGCCAAAAUAGGAUUUCAGCAAUGGAGAAAUCAAUCCGGGGGUUUGCCGAACAUCCUAGUGACAAUGUCAUUGUGCCAAAAUUAGGGACUAGCUUCCACACACUGGGUGAAGCUUACGAUUUUUACAAUCUGUAGUCAUGGGAGAAAGGUUUUGGCAUCUCAAAUUUCUUCCUUUGAAACAGACGCUCGAUGCAAUAAGUGAGUCGUUGAUCGACCUCCCAAUGAUGGAAGUAGCACUGUGUUUGGUGAGAGGUGGGAUGAACUGCCUGGAAGAAAAUUAUGUUACCCUUGCAAACUAUGGAUAAGGGGUGUCAUCCGGUACCCUCUCAGCCUUCAGUCUCCGAACUUAUAUUACAGUUUUUCACUUCGGCGUCCACACAAGAGCUAUCUAGGAACAUGUGCACGAGAAUCCUAUGUUUGUAAGGAUAGCAGGGGUGGUGCUGAAGGAACAGCUUGGGGGUGACACGAUGAUUGACCAUGAGCUGAUGUCUGUCAUUAUCCAUCGGUGUUGCCAGGCUGACCAGGAAGCCGAUGAAGAAUCACCCUACCUAACAUGGAGGCACCAACUUCAACCCGAUUUCUCGACAUUGGUGCUCACUACGGGGACAAGUUGAAGCUCCCCAUUACAAAGGUGAUUACCCGCUCGCCGCAGUCGCUGCAUGGGAUGAGCGGUUGUAUCUCCUUCCGUACGGUGACCGACAAUGAGGUAGAGAUGAAAGACUAAAGAUGGAAGACUAAUUGCCACAACGGAUAUGUUCGGAUUUGGAUUGGAUUAGUAGGGUGUGGAUAAGAUGAGCUGUGUUGGGAAGGUUGGUGGCUACAACGAGUCAACGACCGGGCACCAUAGAUAUACUCUGUCACGCCGUUAGCCCAAAAUCUUCUGCAAGACGGCUCAUAUCGUCUACCUCCGUGCGAGCCGCGCUCUUCAUGUCUAACGGGGUAACGAUUGAUGAUUGUCAGACGUGGACCAUAGGACACUAAUAAAUCAAAUACAGAGUUCAUACCUGGGCCUAUACUUCUUGGGUUGUGCAUCUCGAGACGAACUUGUGGCAAAGAUAACGAGCACACAGGUGCUCGAGCUCACAAAAGCACAUUCGGUAUGAAAGGAUAUUCUAAUGUUGAUGUUGCACAGCAAAAGUUCGGCUUCGAAGAGAGAUUUACUUGAGUUUCUAUUAGAAAAACCCAUAGUGAUACAGAAAGGUUUUUGGCACAGUUUGACAUGCAUGAAAAAUUACUACGGGUUUACUAUUGAACUGAAAGCUUGGACUGAUCCUUCUUUUUGGUAUGUACUGUUCUGUAUCACUAUAGGUUUAUUACUGUCCUCGUCUGUUUCGUAGCCUCCGGUUAGGUAAAAUAUCUAGCACAUGCGUGUGAUAGAUGUGUAGUCGACGGUGUAUCCCUUGGAUGGUUUCUACCACUAAAAGAUUCUGAUUCUUCCUCUUCGUAGUUGAUUUAGUUCAAUAAAAAACAGUCAGACACUUAACUGUAGAUUUGACCGGGCGAAUUUGGGUUCUGCCUCUCCAGGAUUAGAACUGUAGUUAUUUCCUGUCAUGUAAUAUUGUUUUCCAUCAUAUUUAUUUACUUAAAUCUUGAAUAGGGGAAUUAUAAGAAUUCAAAUUAAUAAGAGUUGUUCAUAUUUUGCUAGCAAGUACAUGCUAUUAUUAUUACGGUGGAGUGCCGAUUGCUGAAAUAUGUCUUCGACGUCUACUUUAAUUUUUUGGUUCAGUUUACUGGACAAAUUUUUCUUGUGUGAACUAAAACAUAGGAGCAUGCGCCAGAAGCUUGGUAUAGGCUAAACUAUUGUGAUAAACUUCGACCAAGGUCCUGCAUUCUAUGGAAGUUGCAGUGUUGAAGCUGCUUCGACUGAUCCCUAAUAGAUCUUGACUUCACUCAGAAGUGAGGCAUAUUGAGCUUAAUAUAUCUUGAUUGAUACCUACGGAUUAUGUUGGAUUAGGUUCCUAUGUGCCUAUGCUUUUUGUUUUGCUUUUGGCCAAUUGGUUUUUAUCCAUUGUAUGAAUAUUUUGUGUCUUUGUGGUGAAAAAAACCUAACAGCAACAUUUAAACUUCUACUUAUAUUCAAUAGCUUAUCAGUUUCUUAUGAUUUGAAUUCUCACCUGACUUUUGUG